CCUACGGGGGGCUGCAGUGGGGAAUAUUGGACAAUGGGCGAAAGCCUGAUCCAGCCAUGCCGCGUGUGUGAAGAAGGCCUUCGGGUUGUAAAGCACUUUCAGUGGGGAAGAAAGCCUUGGGGCUAAUACCCUCGAGGAAGGACAUCACCCACAGAAGAAGCACCGGCUAACUCCGUGCCAGCAGCCGCGGGAAUACGGAGGGUGCGAGCGUUAAUCGGAAUUACUGGGCGUAAAGCGCGCGUAGGCGGUCUGAUAAGCCGGUUGUGAAAGCCCCGGGCUCAACCUGGGAACGGCAUCCGGAACUGUCAGGCUUGAGUGCAGGAGAGGAAGGUAGAAUGCCCUGUGUAGCGGUGAAAUGCGUAGAGAUCGGGAGGAAUACCAGUGGCGAAGGCGGCCUUCUGGACUGACACUGACGCUGAGGUGCGAAAGCGUGGGUAGCAAACAGGAUUAGAUACCCCUGUAGUC
rnacentral:rRNA from 1 species